rnacentral:sRNA from 1 species
CCCGGGUGUGGUGGCGCACGCUUGUAAUCCCAGCAGCUCGGGAGGUUGAGACAGGAGAAUCACGAGUUCAAAGCCAGCCUCAACAAAAGUGAGCAAUUCACUGAGAUCCUGUCUCUA